AACGAACGCUGGCGGCAGGCCUAACACAUGCAAGUUGAACGCUGUAGCAAUACAGAGUAGCGCACGGGUGCGUAACGCGUGGGAAUAUGCCCUUCACUGCGGAAUAACGUUUGGAAACGAACGCUAAUACCGCAUAACGACGCCGGUCCAAAGAUUUAUCGGUGAAGGAUUAGCCCGCGUUAGAUUAGCUAGUUGGUGAGGUAACGGCUCACCAAGGCGACGAUCUAUAGCUGGUCUGAGAGGAUGAUCAGCCACACUGGGACUGAGACACGGCCCAGACCCCUACGGGAGGCAGCAGUGAGGAAUAUUGGACAAUGGGGGCAACCCUGAUCCAGCCAUGCCGCGUGAGUGAAGAAGGCC
rnacentral:rRNA from 1 species